AUGAACGCUGGCGGCGUGCCUAAUACUUGCAAGUCGAGCGAACGGACGAGAAGCUUGCUUCUCUGAUGUUAGCGGCGGACGGGUGAGUAACACGUGGAUAACCUACCUAUAAGACUGGGAUAACUUCGGGAAACCGGAGCUAAUACCGGAUAAUAUUUUGAACCGCAUGGUUCAAAAGUGAAAGACGGGCUUGCCGUCACUUAUAUAUGGAUCCGCGCUGCAUUAGCUAGUUUGUAAGGUAACGGCUUACCAAGGCAACGAUGCAUAACCGACCUGAGAGGGUGGUCGGCCACACUGGAACUGAGACAGGGUCCAGACUCCUACGGUAGGCAGCAGUAGGGAAUCUUCCGCAAUGGGCGAAAGCCUGACGGAGCAACGCCGCGUGAGUGAUGAAGGUCUUCGGAUCGUAAAACUCUGUUAUUAGGGAAGAACAUAUGUGUAAGUAACUGUGCACAUCUUGACGGUACCUAAUCAGAAAGCCACGGCUAACUACGUG
rnacentral:rRNA from 1 species